rnacentral:rRNA from 1 species
GGCGAACGCUGGCGGCGUGCCUAAUACAUGCAAGUAGAACGCACAGUUUAUACCGUAGCUUGAUACAACAUAGACUGUGAGUUGCGAACGGGUGAGUAACGCGUAGGUAACCUGCCUGGUAGCGGGGGAUAACUAUUGGAAACGAUAGCUAAUAACGCAUAAUAUUCAUUAUUGCAUGAUAAUUAAUUGAAAGGUGCAAUUGCACCACUACCAGAUGGACCUGCGUUGUAUUAGCUAGUAGGUGAGGUAACGGCUCACCUAGGCGACGAUGCAUAUCCGACCGGAGAGGGGGGACGGCCACAAUGAGACUGAGACACGGCACAGUGGCCUAAGGGAGGCGGCAGUAGGGAAACUUCGGCAAUGAGCGGAAAACCGACCGAGCAACGCCGCGUGAGUGAAGAAGGGUUUCGGAUCGUAAAGCUCUGUUGUAAGGGAAGAACGGGUGUGAGAGUGGAAAGUACACACAGUGACGGUAUCUUACCAGAAAGGUACGGCUAACUACGUG